UACGUAGGUGGCAAGCGUUGUCCGGAUUUACUGGGCGUAAAGAGCGCGCAGGCGGUCAGAUAAGUCGAAUGUGAAAGCCCCCGGCUCAACUGGGGAGGGUCAUUCGAUACUGUUCGACUCGAAGGCAGGAGAGGGAAGUGGAAUUCCCGGUGUAGUGGUGAAAUGCGUAGAUAUCGGGAGGAACACCAGUGGCGAAGGCGGCGCACUGGACCACUUCUGACGCUGAGGCGCGAAAGCUAGGGGAGCAAACAGG
rnacentral:rRNA from 1 species